rnacentral:rRNA from 1 species
UCUUUAUGGCAAAUGUGAGAUGCAGUGUAUGGAAUGUCAAAUUUCUAGUAUGAGAAAUUAACGAUUUAAGUCCUUCUUAAAUGAGGCCAUUUACCCAUAGAGGGUGCCAGGCCCGUAUAACGUUAAUGAUUACUAGAUGGCAUUUCCAAAGAGUCGUGUUGCUUGAUAGUGCAGCACUAAGUGGGUGGUAAACUCCAUCUAAAACUAAAUAUAACCAUGAGACCGAUAGUAAACAAGUACCGUGAGGGAAAGUUGAAAAGAACUCUGAAUAGAGAGUUAAAUAGUACGUGAAACUGCUUAGAGGUUAAGCCCGAUGAACCUGAAUAUCCAUUAUAGAAAAUUCAUCAUUAUGAUUUUAAUAUUAAUAAUAUUAUAAUAAUGGUGUGCAUUUUUUCUAUAAAGGACAUUGUAAUCUAUUAACAUAUCAUAUUUAUCAUAAGAUCAAUGAUGCGUAAGUUUAUUCAAAUUAUUUUGCUUGCAAUUUAACAUAGAAUAAAUGCUCUUGAUUUGAUAAAGUGUUGAUAGAUUUAUUGUAUAUAGUGCUUAAAUAUUAUAUAUUUUAUAAUAGCAUAUUAAUCAUUGAUUUUUAUGUUUAUUAUAUGCACUUAUAUGAUUAACAAUGCGAAAGAUUCAGGAUACCUUCGGGACCCGUCUUGAAACACGGACCAAGGAGUCUAACAUAUUUGCAAGUUAUUGGGUAUCAAAACCUAAUAGCGAAAUUAACAUAACUUAUAAUGGGAUUAGUUUUUAGAUUAUUUAUAGUCUAUUAAUUCAAUCCCGGGGCGUUCUAUAUAGUUAUGUAUAAUGGUAUUUAUACUAUUUAUACCUCUAACUAGAGCGUACCUUGAGCAUA